UUCGAGCAAGUUCAACCUACGUCGUUGAACAGGACUAAUAUGUCGAUGUAUUAUUCCGUGAGUAAAAGGGACAUUUCUCUUUCUUUGUGUUUCUUCUUUCGCGCCUGCGCGUUCACAGUGUGCAUUAGUACAGUGACGAUUCGUUCGUUGAGAGCUCGUUAGAUGGGCUGUCUCGAUGGUUGAAUUUCCACUGGUUGGGGCAAAACCCAACUAAAAAGCACUGUCAAUGUCAAAAUAGAUAUCAAAACGAGUUUGACGUCUGACCGCCGUCGCAUCACAGCUCCUGUAUACAGAACGUUUGCGCAAGUAUGUGAGUGUUCCGUGACGUAUUUCUCGUCACUUGCGUGUGUCUAGAGCAUUUUGAUCAGUUGUCAGUUGCCCCAACGAACGAACACGAUUCGCUAAUCGGGGCGCAGUCGUGACCCAACCAGCGAAUCCGGACUGUAUUUAGCCGUGUCGCUCUAUAAUGUGUGCUCCGUCGUCCCUCAGCAUGGCUGCAUCUGAACACGAAAUUGAAUUUCUUGAGGUUGAAUAAUUUGCCGUUACGUAGUUUAAAAAUUUAUAAAGACACCCCAAAACUGAAUUGUUUAUAAAACUGUUGCAUCAUAAUCAUUUCAUUUCGUUUGUUGAAUGUUGUAUGGUGCACUAGAACCUGGGAAGACUGUAUUCGAUGAAAUUUGGACACAGAAAAUAAUGUAUAGGUUUUGAUUGCGUUCACAAAAUCAAAUAUUUUUUUGACCAGGAAUAAUAUAUAAUGUGUAGCUAAUACCAUAACAAUGGCAACAAAUUCAGUUUGAUAUUGGCGCAGAUAUUGUUAAUAUCAUAAAACAAGAUUUUAGCAUUUUUUUUCACCCGUUUUAAAAAUUGUGUAGGUUAUAAUUUUGAUGUAACUCGUCAAGACGUCUGAAAAUUUAACUCGAAGUUCUUAACAGAGUAUCAAUAAACUGAUAAAAAAAUCUCAAAAUCGGUUCAAUACGUUUUUCUAGUAUUCAAAACUCAAAUCGCUUCAAGGCAUAUUUUAGGUAAUUUUUAAUCAUUUUAUUCCGUGUGUACUAUUUUGUUUGUACAACUGUCAUGACUGUUCCGAUUUUUAUUAACAUUUGAAACUGUAAAACCAUUAUGAAAACUGUUCUUAGCCAAAUUGCUUGAAAAUUUUUCAAGUUAUAACUGUUUGAAUGCCAUGAUACAAAAACAAAACAUUUUUGCUUAUUGUGACUUUGUGCCGCAUAUGCGGCUAAAACUUUAUUACGGCUAGAUCAAAUUGAAUGAAAUUUUUGCACAAUAUUUCUACAUGUAUACUUUACAUACAGAACAGUUUUGAUUGAAAUCGGUUCAGUAUUUUUGGUUCUAGAGCUAUAACGGUGAAGAAGUGAUAUUUUUAAAAACGUUCGUUUGCUCAAACUUCUCAAAUGGCAAAUUUCUUGUUUCAACGAUAUCUCCACCAAUAUUCAACCGAUUUUGAUGAAAUUUGUAUGGUAUUAGCUUUACGUAAUACACUAUUCCUGGUAAAAAAAUAGUCAUUUACUAUUUUAUUAGGAAAUCUUUCUGAAUUCCAGGAAUUCGUUCCAAGAUCCCUACGAGAAUUGCUCUGAGAUUCCCUCAGAAUUUCUGCUUGGGAUUCCUCCAGAAAUUCCAUCCUAGAUGUCUCUCGAAAUUAAUUCAGGAUUGCUCCAGGAGUUCUUUCUGGGAUACCUAAGGGAGUUCCCUCAGAUGUUAUUCCUGCAAUUUGUUUAGGAUUUGUUCAGAACUUCCACGAGUUCUCUCCAGGAUUACUCCUGUAACUCCAUACGGGAUUCCUUCAGAGAUUCUUUCAUGGAAUUCUCUAGAAAUUCCUUCCGAGAUUCCUCCAGAAGAUUCCUAUGAAAUUAUUCUAGAAGUUCGUUCAGGGAUUCUUUCACGAGUUUUUUUUUAUAAUUUCUCCAGAACCUUUCGGAAUGUCUUCAGAUUUUUAUCUGGGAAGAAACUAUUGAAAGAAUCUCUAAAAUAGCUCGUGUAGAUAUUCCCUGCAAAACUGCUGGAGAUAUUCGUUAAGAAGCAGGAAUUUUAUAAGGAACUCAAGAGCAAGUCUUGGAGUACUUCCAUAAAGAAUAAAAAAAAACUUCUGGAGUAUUUCCAUGAGCAAAAUUUAAGAAACUUCCAGAAUGAAUUCCAGAAUAUGUAAUCUGCAAGGAAUCCCAGUAGAAGUUCUUGGAGGAAUCCCGGAAGGAUAUCCUGGAUAAAUUAUUGGACAAGUCUUAGAAGGAACUCCUGGAAGAACCUUGACUUAUUUUCCAGGAGUCUGGAAGUUCUGAAGAAAUUCCGGAAAGAACUUUUAAAAAAUUCCCGGAAGAUACCCCGGGUAAAAUUUCUGGAGAGGUCCCUGAUGCCACCCCUGGUGUAAUCUUAGAAGAAAAUCCUGGAGAAAUACCAGAAGAAACUAUGAGAGGAACCCAUAAAAUUACUCCUAGGGGAAACCUAGAAGGAGAUCCUGGAGGAAUCCCGGAAGAAUCUAGAGGAAUUACAAAAGGAAUUCUUUGAGGAUUCACAUGAGAAACGUCCAGAGACAACCUAGAUGAAUCUCAAAAAGUUGUAUCUUAGAAAGAAAUCCUAGAAGAAUCACUGAAAGAACUCCAGGACGAAUCAAAGAAUGAAUUCCUAUAGAAAUCCUAGAAGGAAAUCCUGAAAUGAUCCCGGAAGGAAUUCCUGCGGCAAUCUCCGAAUAAAUAUCUGAGUGAACCCCGGAUAAAAAAUACUUAAGAAAUCCCGGAUGAAAUUAUUGUAGAAUAGUUCGAAAAAACUCCUGGUAGAAUCUUAGAAAACACCUCUGGAGAAAACCCUGAAGGAACUCCUAGAAGAUCCCAAAAUUAAAAAAAAAAACAAAAUAAAUAAAUCCUGAAUUAGAAGGAACUCACGGAGGGAUUUUUUGUAGAACUUCUAAUGAAAAUCUCAGAGACAUUUUAUAAGAAUCCCCUGCGAACUUCUGAUGGAUUUUUCGGUGGAACAUCUGGAAGAAUUUCAAGAGGACUUUCUGUGAAACCCCAAAGAAAAACCUUUGUACGGAAUGCCAAAAGAUUCAUCACAAAGAAUCUGGAACUCCGUUGCACGGUGUCAAAAUUUCGAUUAUUAUCGAACUUCCAUGUACCUCGGAUCUUUCUUCACAGAAAGUCAGCAUUUUGGCUAUACUUUAUAAUUGGAAAGUUUUAAAAUAUUCCAUCGGGGAAAUUUUGAUUUAUCUAAGUUUUUGGCUAUUUUCCAUACUAAAAUUAAUUAAAUAUUAUCGUCGCACCACCAAAUCGAAGUCGUCGCUAGAAGCACAUGCGAAGUUGCAGCUGCGAAGUAAAUUUGAAUCUAUUUUUUCUGUUGCGCAUCAUUAAGCUAAUUAAGAGCAACAAUAUGCACUAAUCCAAAUUGAGUUGCGACAUUUUUAAGUAGGUUAAAAAUCAAUUUUCGCACGUUCGGUCACUUCGUAUUUCGACCAAAAGCAUAAUACUAAUUUUAACCAAAUAACGUCCCAUACAAAAUGUAUGGGAAAAUUUUCACCAAUAAAAUAUUUUCUCGUCUUCCGAUUAUGAAUAUAUCGGCACCAACAUUUCAAAAGGGCGUAACUGCUUUUGCAACCAAUGCCUUCCCACAGAGCUGUGGGUCGUAUUUCAUUCAUCUCAAGCAAUUCACAUCCAUUAAUUGAAAGAGGAGGAUUUUAUCUUUCUAUUUGUGCUAGUGGAUUGCUCGAGAGGGAUGGGAUACGCUCCACAGCUUUGUGAGAAGGCAUUGGUUGUAAAUGCAGUUACGUCCUUUUGAAAUGUUGGUGCCGAUAUAGCCCAAAUACUAACAAUUUCCGAAGAAAAAUCCGAGGUACAUGAAAGUUCGAUAAUAAUCGAGAUUUUGACACCGUGACGUUGAAAUCUCACUAUCUGGAUUUUCCCCAUACGCGCGCAAAAAUUAAAUUUAAAUUUCAAUCACACUUCCUGAUGAAACGAACAAAAUUUUUCUCAGUCCAAAUCGUAAACAACGAGGCCACGAAACGCCACACGAACAACGAACAAUUUAUCUAGCAACCGGCGGCCGUAUGCAGUGCCCUUUUCUUCACAUCCUUCUUACAGCAUCGUUUCGUAAAAAUGCUGUCGGUUAAACAAAUGUCAAAAUUACUUACGGAAAAAGGAGGAAUUUUACUUGAGCGCUCUACUUGGGAACUGGAAACUUACCAUAACGAUGCAAUCCGUGGUCUAUUAAACCCAAAUCUUGUAUUGUUCAUUGCGGAAAUUGAUAGAUUCCAGCGCGAAAAAUGAUACCUAGCUGAUAUAAAAUUUCAACACGGGAUAAGCGAUUUUACCAUAGACUAAUUUUACUCCAGCGCACUAAGCAUUAUAUGAAUAGCCAGUUGUAGCGCGUGGGAAAACUUCUAAUUUCAACCCCGACAAUAUUUUAGCGUCAAUGCAUUAUUUUGUGCAUUAUAAACGUUUGUUUUCAAUGCAAACAACGAAUUAGCCUUCCAUCCUAUUCGAAAGUCACAAAACCAACCAGUGUGAAGAAUGACCCUAAGUUAAAAUUCACGAAUAAAAAGAAAUUAAAAAAAAAAAAAACAAUCAAAAAUUUCGUCAACAUAAGAGCGAGGCAUGUUACGCGAUCUACUGUGUAACUUUGAGGACAAAGUGCCACCAGAAGAACAGUCGGGCAUAUACCAGGUACCUUGCAAUGACUGCCCGGCGGUUUACAUCGGUCAAACACACCUCAAGGACUGUUUGCAGUUCAGAAGGAAUUUCUCAGCCUAUCUUGAUGCAUGGGAAAUUCCUUGCCUGAAUCGCCCAAGAAACCGUUUUUCUUCCAUCGCAGUACGCAGUUGCGAAGAAAUGACAAUUCAAAUGGCAGUCACCGUAGAAAGUUUCAGCCAGGAAUCGCUCAAGAAGUUUCUUGAGCGAUUCCUUUUGAACUCGAAACUACGCUUCAAGGUCAAGAUACGUUUGAAACAUGAGCAUGAGCAUGAGCACAGACAAACAGACGUAAAUCUUAGAGGAAAUUCAUCACAAACUUUUGCCCGGUAUCAUUUUCAUGAGCACACUGCCACCUGUUGGUAGAACCGCGCGCGAUACUGUCGGCCAUGAUGAAUUUGGAUUUGACGUUUUGCUGACACGCACACUACUACACAAAUUGCCUGUAAUUUUCGUUUGCAUCAUUCAGCAAUGUUGAAGUGGGAGCUUCGGAAUGAAUGCGACACGGAUAAGUUUCAGGAGUAACUUUAUUACGACCACAUUGGUCGGAGUCUUGUCAAGAACUGCCCGUAUAAAAACGAACAAUUAAGGCUAUGGGCACAACAAUUGAAAAACAAUAGAUUUUUAUGUUAACAUUGCUUUCUAUUGUGAAUGUAUUAUACAGCAUAUUUUAAAAUUUGAUUCUUUAUAAUGAUUACAAUUGGUUCACAUUAGAUUUCAUUGUUACAUAGACAAAUAAUAGAUUAACAUUUGAAUUCAUUGUUACUUUUGGAUUCAGCGUUCAAACCAUUGGUUUACAAUAGAAUGUAUCAGCUACAUUGAAAUGUACCGUUUUUCAAUGGUCUGAACGUUUAAAAAAACCCUGCUUUUAAGUACAGUGACGAUUCGUUCGUUGAGAGCUCGUUAGAUGGGCUGUCUCGAUGGUUGAAUUUCCACUGGUUGGGGCAAAACCCAACUAAAAAGCACUGUCAAUGUCAAAAUAGAUAUCAAAACGAGUUUGACGUCUGACCGCCGUCGCAUCACAGCUCCUGUAUACAGAACGUUUGCGCAAGUAUGUGAGUGUUCCGUGACGUAUUUCUCGUCACUUGCGUGUGUCUAGAGCAUUUUGAUCAGUUGUCAGUUGCCCCAACGAACGAACACGAUUCGCUAAUCGGGGCGCAGUCGUGACCCAACCAGCGAAUCCGGACUGUAAUUUCGAAACAGUGUGUAUUGAUGACAGCCAAGUUUUUUUGUUAUCAGUUUGGUAGUCGACGGUAAAAUUUUUCGAAGUGCAGGUUCGUCUGCGGAAAAUGUGGAAAAUUCACGCUCAACUGCGUGAAUUUUCCACAUUUUCCGCACGUGAGUUAAUAUAGUGUGUGGUGCAGUGUAAAAGCAUACAAUAGUAGCAGCAUUUCAACAGCAGUCGCAAGGACAUGAAGCCUGUGCAGAAGCAGUUAGCUCUCAGCUUAUUCGAUCGCAUUGCGGUCGAGGGAAUACGCAUGAUUAGGACUGAUCGCUGCAUGGACGAGAACUAGGAGCGCUGAGAAGAGAACGGGGGUGCGGAAUGCUGAAUCAAGAAACUUUGUGGUUUUAUUCUGAAAUCACCGAUCGGUUCAGUAGUUUCCGAGUCUAUUAGGGUCAGACAGACAGACAAACAGUAGUAACUCAUUUUUUAUAUACAGGGUGUUAGGUUCCCGAGUGCAAACUUUUUAAAGGGUGAUAGAGGACCAUAAAUGGAGAAAAAAAAUUGUUCUACGCAUAUGGUCAAAUCUCAACCGUUACGUAGUUAUUGAACUUCCCAUGUUUAUGACUCUUAUUGCCUUAACUGACAAUAACUUGAAAAUGGUCAAACUUAUCGAAGUUUUUUUUAUCCUUAUUCGAAAGAUUAUUGAAUUUUCUAACAAAUGGUAUCUUUGAAUCGAUUGGUUUAGUUAAAUAACUAAGUUUUCUAGAACAAAAUUACUAAAAAUACUGUAUUUUUAUUGGCUGUUGUCAAUUAUCUUUGAAACAUGCGUAAUAAAUUGAAAUUCUUUCUUUGGGAAAGUUGUGGCUCCUGUUACACUCUACAAUUCGUUCUUUGACACCAAACUUCUAGCUCUUAUCGUUUUCUUGCAAUUUUGAUUUAAAUGUGCGGCACAAUGCGCAAAAAAGUGCUUUCCAUGACAGUUGCAAAUUUAUGAUCUGAAAUGCGAUGUUAAAAUCGAAAUUGCAACACAAUGAUAAGAGAUAGAAGUUUGGUGUCAAAGAACGAAUUGUAGAGUGUAACAGGAGCCACAACUUUCCCAAAGUAAGAAUUUCAAUUUAUUACGCAUGUUUCAAAGAUAAUUGACAAAAACCAAUAAAAAUACAUUAUUUUUAGCUAUUUUGCUCUAGAAAACUUAGUUAUUCAACCAAACCAAUCGAUUCAAAGAUGCCAUUUGUUGGAAAAUUCAAUAAUCUUUCGAAUAAGGGUAAAAAAACUUCGAUAAGUUUGACCAUUUUCUAGUUAUUGCCAGUUAAGGCAAUAAGAGUCAUAAACAUGGGAAGUUCAAUAACUACGUAACGAUUGAGAUUUGACCAUAUGCUUAGAACAUUUUUUUUCUCCAUUUAUGGUCCUCUAUCACCCUUUAAAAAGUUUGCACUCAGGAACCUAACACC